UAAUGAUAAGUAUGCUAAAGAAUCUGUGUUAUUUCAGAGUAGGCAGUGUUGCCAUCGGAAUACUCCUGAAGAGCUGGUCAUUAACCUAGCAACAAGUGGCACGAGUGGAGCAGCUCUGCCGGGGAAGAUUGAGAGGUAGGAAAAGUAGUAACAUGGAAGCAGCAUGGAAAAUUGCUUUACCCUUUUGCCUUAGAAGACUGCUUCAGCCUCGGUGAGAGCAUUUGUGAAGUACUGUGAAAGAACUGGCAUUGUGUUGGCGGGGGCUCCACUUUGUUAUCUGGCUGCAGCUUUUCAAACAAACACGAGAGCUAGAACAUUCACUGGUCAGUAAAAUGGAAAAAUACUGCUCCAAAUAGCAAUAAACGUGAGUUACAAGUUUCUAGAUAUUGCAAAACCUACAGUACAUUAUGUACAGUGGUAUUUCACCUUGCACUGACAUCCUGAAUCUGUUUAGUCAAAGGCUUUGGACAAUGAGUGUAGUGAUUGACAUUUGUUUUGGCAGCUAAAUCUGGUUGCUACAUCUGUCAUUCAUCUCUUGGAAACCCACGAACUACAAAAUAGAGACAAUGCCUAAAAGAAGUGAUGUAUGAAAAACCUAUUGUCCAUGCAGCGUUUGCGGUAGCAAGUUAGCAACUUUUUUCUUGGCUUUCCAUCUGGUUCUAAGGUUGAUGAAUUAACCAAAGCCACUGCUCUACUUCUUGUUAGAGAGCUGCUCGCAAAGAAAGUGUGAAUGUCCACCCAUGACUGAAUAUAUGCCUUCAUCUUGCCUUAGAAAUUAAUUCU